rnacentral:rRNA from 1 species
UACGGAGGAUGCAAGCGUUAUCCGGAUUUAUUGGGUUUAAAGGGUGCGUAGGUGGGAUAAUAAGUCAGAGGUGAAAGCUAGCAGCUUAACUGUUAAAUUGCCUUUGAUACUGUUAUUCUUGAGUGUAGUUGGCGUUGGCGGAAUGUGACAUGUAGCGGUGAAAUGCGUAGAUAUGUCACAGAACACCGAUCGCGAAGGCAGCUAACGAAGCUAUCACUGACACUGAUGCACGAAAGCGUGGGGAGCAAACAGG